UACGUAGGGCGCAAGCGUUGUCCGGAAUUAUUGGGCGUAAAGAGCUCGUAGGUGGUCUGUUGCGUCCGCUGUGAAAACCCAGGGCUUAACCCUGGGCUGGCAGUGGAUACGGGCAGACUAGAGGUAGGUAGGGGAGAAUGGAAUUCCCGGUGUAGCGGUGAAAUGCGCAGAUAUCAGGAGGAACACCGGUGGCGAAGGCGGGCUCUGGCGACGACAUCUGAGAGCGAAGAACGUGGGGAGCAAACAGG
rnacentral:rRNA from 1 species